rnacentral:lncRNA from 1 species
AGAUAAUAAUUUUAAGAAUAUUUUCAUAGGUUGGAAUGACCUCCCCAUUAUUAUUUUUUUUUGGGAGGGAAUUAAUAAAUUUUUAAAUGAAGGUUAAAUAAUAAAUUUCAACAAACAACAUCGUAAUUUUGAUCAUUUUCCCUCGUUAAGCCGUAAACUGAGGUCAAAUGUCAUGGCAAAGAUAAAACCUUUGGUCAACCAAGCCGUCAUGAGGUCAUGGUCUUCGCUGUCCUCUGUGAGAACAUUUUAUAUUCCAAUACAGCCAUUGUUGAUACAUAAUAUGAAUGGUAGCGAGUAUAUUAUGACACUAAAUGUAAGAGGGUCAGCAAUGAAGAAUUAAAAAAGGGUAAAAGCUUGUUUAGUCCUUAUAUUAUGAGGUUAAUGUCCAUUUAGUCUCUGUAUUUUUUAAAACACCUCAAAACGUCCCUACUACUAAAUAUUGACACUUAUGCCAUUAUUUUUUUUUAAUUUUUAACUUGCUUUU